rnacentral:rRNA from 1 species
GACACGGUCCAAACUCCUACGGGAGGCAGCAGUGAGGAAUAUUGGUCAAUGGGCGCGAGCCUGAACCAGCCAAGUAGCGUGAAGGAAGACUGCCCUAUGGGUUGUAAACUUCUUUUAUACGGGAAUAAAGUCAUCCACGUGUGGGUGUUUGUAUGUACCGUAUGAAUAAGGAUCGGCUAACUCCGUGCCAGCAGCCGCGGUAAUACGGAGGAUCCGAGCGUUAUCCGGAUUUAUUGGGUUUAAAGGGAGCGUAGGCGGGCUUUUAAGUCAGUUGUGAAAGUUUGCGGCUUAACCGUAAAAUUGCAGUUGAUACUGGAAGCCUUGAGUACAGUAAAGGCAGGCGGAAUUCGUGGUGUAGCGGUGAAAUGCUUAGAUAUCACGAAGAACUCCGAUUGCGAAGGCAGCUUGCUGGACUGUAACUGACGCUGAUGCUCGAAAGUGUGGGUAUCAAACAGGAUUAGAUACCCUGGUAGUCCACACAGUAAACGAUGGACACUCGCUGUUGGCGAUAUACUGUCAGCGGCUUAGCGAAAGCGUUAAGUGUCCCACCUGGGGAGUACGCCGGCAACGGUGAAACUCAAAGGAAUUGACGGGGGCCCGCACAAGCGGAGGAACAUGUGGUUUAAUUCGAUGAUACGCGAGGAACCUUACCCGGGCUUGAACUGUAGGCGAACGAUUCAGAGAUGAAGAGGCCCUUCGGGGCGCCUAUGGAGGUGCUGCAUGGUUGUCGUCAGCUCGUGCCGUGAGGUGUCGGCUUAAGUGCC